CAGGUAGCAUCACCAUUUUCAUCAACUCCCUAAUAAGUCAAUGAUCUCAGAGUGCUUGAUUGGUCAUCUUGAUGUACAUAUCGAGGGUGAUGAAGCUCUCUCCAGAAGAGUCCAAAGGAUUGUAAUCGAUGGUGAAGACAGGGGGCAUUGGAGUUUUCUCCUUGUCGGCAUCUCUCCGACCAUUUCCUCGGUUGCCACCCAUUUCAACUUGAGCCGACAGGGCUUGG
rnacentral:lncRNA from 1 species